rnacentral:rRNA from 3 species
AAAUCAUUAAAACUUUCAACAACGGAUCUCUUGGUUCCGGCAUCGAUGAAGAACGCAGCGAAAUGCGAUAAGUAAUGUGAAUUGCAGAAUUCCGUGAAUCAUCGAAUCUUUGAACGCACAUUGCGCCCCCUGGCAUUC